rnacentral:rRNA from 1 species
UAGAGUUUGAUCCUGGCUCAGAUUGAACGCUGGCGGCAUGCCUUACACAUGCAAGUCGAACGGCAGCACGGGAGCAAUCCUGGUGGCGAGUGGCGAACGGGUGAGUAAUAUAUCGGAACGUGCCCAGUAGUGGGGGAUAGCCCGGCGAAAGCCGGAUUAAUACCGCAUACGACCUGAGGGUGAAAGCGGGGGAUCGCAAGACCUCGCGCUAUUGGAGCGGCCGAUAUCAGAUUAGCUAGUUGGUGGGGUAAAGGCCUACCAAGGCUACGAUCUGUAGUUGGUCUGAGAGGACGACCAGCCACACUGGGACUGAGACACGGCCCAGACUCCUACGGGAGGCAGCAGUGGGGAAUUUUGGACAAUGGGCGCAAGCCUGAUCCAGCAAUGCCGCGUGCAGGAAGAAGGCCUUCGGGUUGUAAACUGCUUUUGUCAGGGAAGAAAUCUUCUGGGUUAAUACCUCGGGAGGAUGACGGUACCUGAAGAAUAAGCACCGGCUAACUACGUGCCAGCAGCCGCGGUAAUA